CCUACGGGGGGCAGAAGUGAGGAAUAUUGGUCAAUGGGAGAGAUCCUGAACCAGCCAAGCCGCGUGAGGGAAGACGGCCCUAUGGGUUGUAAACCUCUUUUGUCGGAGAACAAAACCCGGGACGUGUCCCGGACCGCGUGUAUCCGAAGAAAAAGCAUCGGCCAACCACGUGCCCGCAGCCGCGGUACUACGGGGGAUGCGAGCGUUAUCCGGAUUUAUUGGCUUUCAAGGGUGCGUAGGCGGUCCGUUAAGUCAGCGGUAAAAUUGCGGGGCUCAACCCCGUCGAGCCGUUGAAACUGGCAGACUUGAGUUGGCGAGAAGUACGCGGAAUGCGCGGUGUAGCGGUGAAAUGCAUAGAUAUCGCGCAGAACUCCGAUUGCGAAGGCAGCGUACCGGCGCCAGACUGACGCUGAGGCACGAAAGCGUGGGGAUCGAACAGGAUUAGAUACCCUUGUAGUC
rnacentral:rRNA from 1 species